rnacentral:rRNA from 1 species
UACAGAGGGGGCAAGCGUUGUUCGGAAUUACUGGGCGUUAAGGGCGCGUAGGCGGCCUUCUAAGUCGAACGUGAAAUCCCCGGGCUCAACCCGGGAACUGCGUCCGAUACUGGAAGGCUUGAAUCCGGGAGAGGGAUGCGGAAUUCCAGGUGUAGCGGUGAAAUGCGUAGAUAUCUGGAGGAACACCGGUGGCGAAGGCGGGUCUCUGGGCCGAUACUGACGCUGAGGAGCGAAAGCGUGGGGAGCGAACAGG